rnacentral:rRNA from 1 species
AGUGAACGCUGGCGGUAGGCCUAACACAUGCAAGUCGAACGGCAGCACAGUAAGAGCUUGCUCUUACGGGUGGCGAGUGGCGGACGGGUGAGGAAUACAUCGGAAUCUACUUUUUCGUGGGGGAUAACGUAGGGAAACUUACGCUAAUACCGCAUACGACCUACGGGUGAAAGCAGGGGAUCUUCGGACCUUGCGCGAUUGAAUGAGCCGAUGUCGGAUUAGCUAGUUGGCGGGGUAAAGGCCCACCAAGGCGACGAUCCGUAGCUGGUCUGAGAGGAUGAUCGGCCACACUGGAGCUGGGACACGGUCCAGACUCCUGCGGGAGGCAGCAGUGGGGAAUAUUGGACAAUGGGCGCAAGCCUGAUCCAGCCAUACCGCGUGGGUGAAGGAGGCCUUCGGGUUGUAAAGCCCUUUUGUUGGGAAAGAAAAGCAGCAGGUUAAUACCCCGCUGUUCUGACGGUACCCAAAGAAUAAGCACCGGCUAACUUCGUG